rnacentral:tRNA from 1 species
CGAGCAUUAGCUCAGUGGUAGAGCUCCCGCUUUGUUUGCGGGAAGACCUAGGUUCGUUUCCCGGCUGCUUAC